rnacentral:rRNA from 1 species
GGGUUUUGGCGGUCAUGGCGUGGGGGUUUAUACCUGAUCUCGUUUCGAUCUCAGUAGUUAAGUCCUGCUGCGUUGUGGGUGUGUACUGCGGUUUUUUGCUGUGGGAAGCCCACUUCACUGCCAGACCACCC